ensembl:lncRNA
GUCAAAGCUGACAUCUUGUAGAGUGUCCUUUCUGGCCCUCUCAGUUUCUCCCCAUAUGAUACCUGAUAGUGUUUCCAUUCAGCCAUCAGCUCAACACUAUGAUGUAUGUACUGUGUCAUUGACUAGUACUUUCUAGGCAGAGAUAAAAAUUUCACAGCAGACUUGUUGGCCUUCAGGUUGAUCUUUUUCUUUUUCUGUUUCCUCUGCCAGGUCGUUUGACAGUUGUGGAGCCCCUCCCACCAAUAAAGCUUUUGUAGGUGAAGAACCCGAAGGAUCUGAGGCUGUGCCAGUACAUGCUGGAGAAAUACUUGACUGGACUCGGGAGUAGGAGCCUAGGCAUUGGCCCACAGAUGUGCUGUUCUCCUUUGGAUACCCGUCGCAACAACACAAUCUUCUCUGUCUACUGGAGUUGUCUUGGUUGUAGAUUUGGAGAUCCUCAAUCUCUCAGCUUAGUUCUCUAAUGUUAAGUCAUAUCGACUCUUAGCAUAGUACUUUAUUUGCCACUGUUCUUUCUACCUUAAUUUUUCCAGAAUUUUCUAUGGGUAAGUUAUUCCAUCUAUAACACUUUAUGAUGUGUAAGCCCACACGAGGGUACCCAGAGCCCAUACACAAUGUACUCUUAUUUACCUGAGAAGUCCAAGCCAGUAACCCCAAUCUUAACUCAGUGGUGAGAAGGAACUUAAAACUUAGAACAGGACUUGUUUUCAUUCCUUUCUUGUUAGUAUCAUUCACAACUUCUGUAGAAGUUGGGAGUCCAGAAAGCAAAGGGUGGGGUUUUCUCACAUGAUCUUGACCCAUGUUGGGUUUUCUGUCUUCCAUCUCCACCUUUAACAUUUAAUAUACCACAUCUCUCCAAAGGUCAUGCCUAUUCUAGUGUGCUGCACUCAGUGACGAAGUUGGAGCAAGUGUCAAAAGAGUGAAGGCCAAGCUCUGACUGUGACAGAGAGUUUGAGAUGGACAAAUGAUGCUUUGAAAAACACGUGACUUCUCGCUGGGACCUCCAUCUCCUGUAAAUAACCAACAACCUGUUCAAGGAUCAAUGUGCCUCUGACAUGAGGACAACAAGGUAGAAGGGAGUCCUCAGAAGGAAACGGGUCUGAGGGCUAACACCGUAAUGCUUCCAACUCUGUCUUCUAGGCAUCACUAACAAAUCUAUAUAGUCCUACCUCCCAGAAGAUGAGUGAAGGUGUUACAGUUAGGAUGAUUGUUGACAUGAGGCUCUCAGAGGUUCACCACAAAUCGGAAGGACAAGAUUGAGAUUGCCAUUCAUAUGGUCUUUCCAUAGUCUCCCCUUGCAAUCAGAAUUGACCAUCACUAUGGACCUCAUCUAUUAGAUGCAGGAUGUCUAGCAAGCCUCUGGACAGGCAGCAUGGCAGAAAUCAACUCUUUCCAAAAAAAACAAAAAAAAAAAGGCUGCUGAUGACACAGUGGAUAGAGCACACACAAGCUCCCUGUCGGACUCCCUCAGCUCCUGCAUGUCUCCUUGGCUAACAUUUCAGAGCUUCUGAUCCUUCAGACAUCAGCUUCUUGAUACUGAAGAGAUUGUUCUACCUGAUGAGCCCAGGCCUAGAAGAUGG